GCACUGGCUGGUGCUGGGUGAGCUCCACCGCUGCCCGGGCUGCGAGCCUGACGGCUGUGUGUCGGGAAUGACGAGACCCAGGCUUGCAAAGACUUGCACGGCAACUGGAAUUUAUGACAAAUAGCUCACUGCAGCUAAACUUUGAUACAGUGUACAGUAGAACCGCCUGUUACACACAGGAGGGAGACGCGUCCUUCGUCACCAUGCAAAGCCAGCCUUAACACAACAUAGGAAAAUGUGGCAGGUCUCUAAUUACGGACUGAGAACAAGCAGAAGAGGAGUGACACUGCAGAUUCCGAGGCACUGCAGUGGGAUGUUGGCUCAGCAAGUGGCUGUGAUGUACGGGAUAGGCAUGGAACAGGAUUCCAGCUGUUCCAUGCAAAUAGGAUAAAAGAAUGGUAAAGAGGAUUCCUUUUUUUUUCCCUCCUCAAAACGUUACCAGCAAAGUACAUUCACAGAGCCUUUUUAAGGUGCCUUUUGCCAGCUUUUGAACUGAACUUGUACCAGUAUCUCAAGCCCUGAAUUGUAAGAAGAGCUGAGAGUUCUGGAACUCAUUUUUAAAAAGUAGAUCUACGAAGAUUCUAGGACGUCCGUUUCUGUUACUGGCUCCUUCUUGUGCUUGGAUGCAGCUCCCUAGCAUGCACCAGGCUUUAGCGUCAGUGCUACCUGGGGGAUGGAGCCAGUCCAGAAAGGGCCAGUCACAUCCAUCUCAUAGCUCACCCUGUCACAGAAGAAAAGAGAGCAUGUUUCCUUUCUCCACUGUCAGAGGUCUCUUCUUUCUGCAUAGCAGUUUGCAUCUUCAGAGCAACGUUGAGGAUGCUGAGUCAGGUUUAAAGGAUGUUUGGUCAGAAAAAACACAAGCAUGCAGGUAUCUUUUGGAAAGCUACGGAUGUCACCCAGGAAGGAGCAGGUGUAAGCUGUUGUGAAAGUCAUAUCCCAGGAGCGGUGCUGGUCUCCUGCGUGUGCACAGGCUGAGAAGUUCCUGGAACCUCAAUUAAUGACUGCAAAAAGUGAAAAUGCCACUUAUAAAGGACAGGGCUUUAUUUUAGUCUUUUUUUUUUUUUUUUUUUUUUUUUUUUUUUUGCACAAAUAGAACCGAGAUAAGAACAGUUUUGGAACUUGAGUGCUUAAAGGUAUUUGAUGUAAAAUAGGCAUUCAGAUAUUUCUUGAAAGGAUGAAUUAUGUGAGAGAGAGUUUUUUUUAAAAUAACUCCAACUAAAGUAAUGGGCCAGAAGUUGGAAGGGGAAAAUAGAUAGAGGGAUUUAAAUAGUGAAAAUGGAUGCGCUUGAUAAAGCUAUUUCCUGAGGUAGGGGUGACUAGCUGUAGACAAUCCAAGAGCAGGUUGGCGUCUGCAGGACAUCUGCCUGUUGUCCGUUGUGCGAGUGAUUUUAGGAAUCACCAGCUCUUUCUCCAGAGUUGCACAAGAGUGAUUUUCUCAUGCAAGCAUAUCAUGUGAUUUGUCUGUAUGAAAACAGGGGCAGUGCCUCGUCACCGUCAAGAAUAAGAUCUAAGCCUUCUUGUCAACCAGGAUCUGGCCCCUUUUUUCUCUGUAUCUCACCACCAGCCUGCCCCAGGGGAGCCUGAACCUGCCGCAGCUCCCCAGUCUCAGCUCCCCGGGCUGCCUGGGCUCAGCAUGCUGCACCCCCGUGCUGGCUGGGCUGUUCCGCCUCUCCUGGAGGGGGUCCGUCUUCCAUGCCCCUCAUCAUCCACCCGGCUACUCUUUCUCUUCAUGCCAGUCAGCCGACAAUGACCUCACAUGAAAGCAGUGUCCACAUUUUCACUCAUGCAUUUUAAAUGUUAAAUACUCUUAAAACAGAAGUUUACUUACAAUUGUAAUAUUUUCAUGUCUUUUCACAUUUUAAGCUCGCUUAAAAAUCUAUGGAAUGCUUCCUCUGUCCAAGGCACUGAGUUUGGUUUUAUCUGAAAUAGCCUAGAUUUGACAAAAGUCCUCUGAGGACUGUACUUAAAUGGAUGUUUGUAAGAAAAUAAAGCUGAACUAAAAUCUAUCUACUCCUUUUUUAGAACAAUAGGACAGAAUUAUAGCAGUUUAGAAAGAAUUUUUUAGCUGACAAAGUGCCAAUGUGCUUUAAGAUGAGUUGUCGUUAUGAAUGUGUUCUGAACUAAUUCUGACGAUGGAAAAAUCCAUCCUAUAAAUUAUAGACAAGUAAAUUAUAAUCCACAUUUCAUGCAAAAUAUGGUAGUUUCUGUAGAUAAUGUAGAUUAUCGUGACCAACAAUAUUUUAGCAGUACCUACAUUCUCCUUUUUUCUUCUUUGAAUAAAUAAAUGUGGUCCGGUAGUUGGAAGAAUUUUCUAGUAGCAUAUCUUAAAAAUGACUAGUUGGCUCGUUAAGCAGGUUUAUAUAAGAUCCACAGAAGAUUAUGGUAAACUUGAAUAAUGUUUAUGUUGUGUUGAGAGAUACCUGUGAUUCCUUUAAUACAG
rnacentral:lncRNA from 1 species